rnacentral:rRNA from 1 species
AAUGAACGCUGGCGGCAUGCCUAACACAUGCAAGUCGAACGGGACCUUCGGGUCUAGUCGCGCAUGGGUGCGUAACGGGUGGGAAUCUGCCCUUAGGUUUGGCAUAACUCCCCGCAAGGGGUGCUGAUACCGGCCUAUGUCUUCGGACCAAAGAUUUAUUGCCUUUGGAUGGACCUGCGUUGGAUUGGCCAGUGGUUUGGGUACAAGCCAACUAAGGCGACGAUCCUUAGCUGGUCUGAGAGGACGAUCAACCUCACUGGGACUGAGACACGGCCCGGACUCCUACGAAGGGCAGCAGUGGGGAAUCUUGGACGAUGGGCGAAGGCCUGAUCCCUCAGUACCUCGUAAGUCAUGAAGGCCUUAGGAUUGUAAAGCUCUUUUACCCGGGAUGAUAAUGACAGUCCCACAAGAAAAAGCCCCGCCUAACUCCGU